AAAAAAAAAAAAAAAAGAAGAAGAAACAAUACGUACAGGACACGGCUCACUGGAUCUGAGGCUUCGGGCAUCCCUGGGGGCCUUGGACCGCACCCCUGCAGUUGAGGACGCUGCUGUCCGUCUCCAACACUGCAGGGACGCCCCUCACCCUGAAACAUUAUCACUCACCUGAAACCCAAAUGUAACUGAAUGAGCAUCCUGGAUUUUCAGUCAGGGACUCAGGCCCAGGGCCCUUGCUUGUGUAGCUUCCACAGGAGGCAGACGUGCCCCCACGGCUGUGCCGGCCUCCAUGCCCAGCCAGCGGCCACGCAACCUCACACCCCAGCGGGCGCCCAUUGGCUGCUCCUCGCCUGGGCCACGGGUAGCUGAGCCUGGGGCAGGGUAGCUGAGCCAGACACAGCCUCUCCCCUCCUCACUAAGCAAAAAGCUGAGCCACUGAGUCGCAGGCAGGAGGGUCCUCAGACCUGGCCCUCGAGGUGGCCGCCACACAGCCCAACUUCUCAUUGCAAUGACCAGGCUUCCCAGGGAGAGGAGGUGGCGUCCCCAGGCCUCUCACCCCAGCACCUGCAGGAGGUCACCCAAGCAUGAGGUCAGCACUGGCACGAGAGCCCGUGGCCCAGUGGGCUUGGGCGAGUGUUGUCCCAGCUACCAGCCAAGGCAGUAACCUGAGCGAUCCUCAGAGACAGCGGCCAGCUUCCCCCAGCAGCCCGGGACAAGUUCCCGUCCAUUUUAAUGAGGCGCUAAUGUAGGCUGACUCAUCAGACCACAGCCAGGGCUGGCGGCUGCCUGCAAAGGCCGGGGCACGGACCCUGUGUGUGGCUCUGAGAGAUACCCUUGCCCCUCCACACCUUCCCGGCAGGCCGUGGCCACUCUCUGGGCAUCUGGACGCAGGUUCCCCUCUGUGGCAGGCUGGGCUGUGUGUGGCUGGAGCUUCAGAAGGGGCUGGGCACAGGCCGGCUGCUCCCUGGACACUCCCAGGCCAGACCAGCACCCCCUUCCGAGAGCACGAGGCGCAUGCGGAGACUCACAGCUCCACACCAUGCCCCACCGCCUGCCUCCCAGGCCCUGCUCCACCUGGACCCCACUCAACAUCCCUGAUGCUCACCUGGCCCUACUGGGCCGAGGCCACCCCCGCCGCCCUGCAGACGGGCACCAGGGCGCAGUCUCAAGCCUCGAGGUCCAUGGCAGAGCUGGUGGAGGUGGCUGUGGCCUCUCCAGACACAGGGUCAGCCCCCCAGAGCAGACUGGCCCACACUUACCUCUUUCUGCAGGCUGCCUCACCUGCCCACAACAGAUAGGCUGGGUGACAAGCGAGGAAUACACAGCAAGCACAAGGUCAGAGGAGCCCAAGGUCCAGGGAGGCAGGAACACCAGCCACUGUGCCCCCACAGCCUUUGUGGCUGGAGCCAAAGACAGCUCCGCGUGGCCACAGGGACAGGCACCCAUGGAGUGGCCAUGAAAAGAGGUGCUCCAGGGGCCACAGGCCACCGACCACUGCGCGCCCACCUGGCCACAGCUGUUUCCAGCCACCUGGGACCAUCCCACCCCUGCUCACACCCCCUCGGCCUUCACGCCACAGCCCUGGUGGACAGUCCCCGAGCUCGGACGCGGCCCUCCCGGCGUCAGUGGGCCCGGGUCUCAUCCAUCUUGUUCCCCGCUCACCAGAGCCGAGCGCGGCCCCCCAGACUCCUUCACAGGGUCCCAAGACACUCGGCUCCUCCUAGACGGACUCCCCUACGGCAGGUGUCCGCAGGAGCCGGCCGUGCGGGGCAGCUUCUAACCAGGGCACAGACACACAAGCUCAACACCGGCCCCCGCGCCGACCGAGGCUCCGAAUGACCCACUUCACGGCCAAGCACCCUGUCUCCGGGGGCUGCUCCGCAUCGCAGGAACCUGACGCAGUGGGCGACCAAUUGCAAUUUAUCCUGAAAGGGGCUGACUCCUGUUACUGCGUCAAGCACGUCCUGCUCAUGGGCCAUUCUCCUCCCUCCGGGGGGGCCGCAGGAGAGGCAGGGAAGGGGCCAAGCAGGUGCUGGGGGCCUCCCUGGACACCUGCACCCCUGCUCGCAGCUGUGAGGGCGGAUUGGGGCAUCCCGGCUGCAGGCAACUGUAACAGAGUGCCACAGGUAGGGGCCUGAGACAGCAACGGCCUCUUGGGGCUCUGGAGGCUGGAGGCCCAGGGCGAGGGGUCAUGGGGCCGAUAGGAUCCCGUGUCCCGCACCACGCUGGAGACUGAGUAGAGAUGAGGAGUCCCUGCCACACACCCAGAGGCCAUGCGGGCAGCAGGCCCAUCUCACAGAUGAGAAAACCAACAGCCAGGAGGUGACAGGACUCCAACAGGGUCCGGAGCAGGGGCCUCGGUGCCCACCUCUGCCAGCCCACUGCGGACUUCACAGGACACAGCCUGGCCCACCGCGACGGCUCUGCUGCCUUGUAGAAAGAUCUGCCCCGAGCCACCAUUAAUGCAUCCGACCAGGCCGGCCCCACAGGCCCACCCCACAGGCAGGCUGCGGCGAGGGGACCCAGGAUGCCCAGGGGCUGCUCAGAGAUGGGGACAAGGCUGGCGUGGGGCCUGGCCAGGGGUCUGUCCCCCAUCAGCCACCACACUGGCCACUCACUGACUGGACGGGGCCGACAGCCUCUCUCCCAGGACCGCAUCUGGCCCCUUCUCCCACCCGGUCUGGUGGGAGCCUCACUCCAUCAGUGACCGAGAUGGCAGACCAAGGCGGUGUGACAGGGAAACUGAGGCACACGUGAAGGCACUGCCCAGGCUAGUAGGAGUUGCUAACCCCCCUCCUGUGCCCAAGGAGACCCCAGAAUCCCAAGAGGCUCCACCCAACUGAGGCUGAGUCUUUAACAUCCAGGACUACUAAAAAACACCUUGUCCAAAAGGACUCAGGAUGUCCCCACCUCAGUCCUCAGGCCAGUGAGGGGCCUAGCGACGGCCACCAGGUGCAGACAGCUGGGCAGGGGACAAGGGACGAGAACACAGGGCAGCCCGGGGGUCAACAGCAGCGCGGGCUCCCUGCGCGGGGCUCCAAGCUCUCCCCCUGGUUCGGACUCCACCUGGAACCUGCCCUCAGGGACAGGCAGAACCCAGGUGGGACAGAUGGGACAGACAGUGACCAGGAGUCCCCCACCCCCGCUGGGCACACCCCUGCUAAGGCCCAAGGUCUUGGAUGUGGUCUGUGCCCACCCCACUUCGCGCACUUUCUCUGCUAUCCAAGACCAUUCUGUACCCAGAUCCCUGGCCUUGCCCCCACCUCUGCCACCGGCUCAGUGACGGCAUUCACUAAUGCCAACAUCCUGUGUCACCUAACAGUCCAUCCACAGGGGAACAGCUUUGCUCCCAUCAGUCGCCAGCGGCAGAAGCACCCACAGCACCAGCAGCCCAGGGUCAGAGUCCAGCGGGGCCAGCCGAGGCUGAGGUCUCGCCGAAGGCCUUUUCUGCGGGAGCCAGGUCCGCAGACAUCGAAGCGGGGCUGGGGGUCCACCUGCGUCAGGUCUACACCCCUCGCGAGUCAGAGGAGCCUCUUCACCCUCAGGCAGCGUGGGGGCCUCCGGGCGCGCUCCCUGCCAGCCCUGCUCGCAACUGGGGCAAAGAGCCCAGGGCUGCACCGAGGCCGGGUGGGGGCCGCACUGGGCUAACGCCUUGGUCCUCGCCGGCCACGCACCCGAGGAUGGGGGGCUCUGGCCUCCCGGGUCGAUGCUGCACUGGGCCUCCGAAGGCAGGCGGCGGCCACACCCACCCAAGGCUCUCUCUGCCCACAGCUCCGCUCCGGCAAGCACCCAGGCGGCAGCCAGAGGACAAAGGAAGCCUCACUGAGCACAUUCAUCAACCCUCGGGCUCAUCAAACCCUGGGGCGCUCACGCCCCGCCAACGGCCGCUUCUCCCGUCAGCCUGGGCCCACCUCCGCCCCACAAGGAGUGUGUGUGGAGGCCAGGGACACCAGCGGCCACGUGGCGGCACACCCCCUGCACCACGGCAAGCUGCUACUCGGUCCCCAUCUGUCAUCCUCGGCGGGCACAGCGCUCUGGGGACGGUGCCCGGACCUGCUGCCAGCUCUCCUGAGCUGGGCAGGGGCUGAGAGCCAGCAGAGCUCCUUCCCCGAGCCCCGCCCCCACCACCUCCGACCGAGGCGGGGCUGCACGUCACCACUCAGGGCGCGACCGGCUGAUUUCACCCCUUGUUUCUGCCCAGGGUGCGCGGCCGGUCUUUAAUCUCCAGCCUGGAAAUUCAACCUGGGCCUGCGCGACUUAGACUUGUUCCAAGUUACGCCAACAUGAACCACUGAGGAGAGGGAAGACUCCUCUUCCGUGCCAGGGAGGGGAAUGCCCACUCGCGGGGGCGGGCAGGGACGGUCCCUGCCCUUCCCACAGCGGGCUCGGCACAGGCGGCUGGACGGACGGCCUGUCCGACAUCUGCAUAAACAAAGGUAACACGUUCCUCGUCUGACCUUGACUGUGUGACCGUGGCUUGGACCCAGCCAGCAGAGCUGCUGUGGAUCCAUCCCCGGAGUGUUUGACAGGCCGGCCCCUCCCCCGCAUUCCUCCGGUCCCGACCCUGGAACGGAACGUCUCUUCUGCAGCUCCGGGAGCCCGGCCUGGUGGGGCCGCAUCGCCCUCGGCUCUCAGCCCUCGGGGGAACUGAGGGGAGCACACAGAACCACCCCGAGGGCUCCACCGGGCCAGGGAGGGCGCCCGCCGCCGGCCCCAGUCAGAACGAAGUUCGGGUGCUCGGAGCGUGAUGCCCACAAGCCCAACAGCCUCCUUUAGGGGCUGGCAGCAGCCAUGCCCUCUAGGCCUGAGGGUGUGGGACACCAGCACUCCCCACUCCCAGCCUCCGUCCCUGCGCAGCCCUCACCUGCCCUUCCAGCCUUGUCUCUCGCCUCGACUUCCCGCUAAGCCUGGCCCCAGGCCUGCCCUCCCUAAGGAGCAGUUGCGAAGCCAGCUAGAGGCAGAGGUUACAGACACCCGUGCACUCUGUGGGGGCCUGACUACGAGACAUUUGCCGAGGCAAUCAGAGGCUGUCCCCACUCUGCACCGCUCCCCAAGUCCCCCCGCCAGAGGUUGAAGGCCGCGCUCAGGGACUCCGUCCACCCUGAAGUGCCCCAGGCGGGCGAACAGGGGCCCUGAGGUCAGUCAACGCCAAGGGCGAUCCCAGUGAUGAAGAAUCCGGGAGCCAGAAGAACAGUGAAAGCCGAGACCCCUGCCCGGUCCCGGGGGUGCGGGCUGAGCGGGAGCCUUAGGGACUGGGGGUGCGGCACGGCAGGAGUGGUUCAGGAACCAGAGCUCUCAGCAAACUUGUUCCCAGGAGCCCCAAGGUCACAUCCCCACCAGCGCCAGCUGCAGCAGCAGGUCUGGGAGGCCCACGGUCCCUGCCAGGGCCCGGCCUGCUCUGGGCUCCAUCUACUCCCUCCUCCCCAGUGGGGCCUGAGUCCUGAGUCCAGCGGGGUAGCCCCGACCCGGAGGGUGAGCUCAGCCUGCUGGCAUCACGCCCACUUCCUGGCAGGAACAAGAUGACGUCCCAGGGGGCGCGUGGCCCCGAUGCUUCCACGAAGCGGAGGGAAUGACCCCAACAGGCGCUCGGCAGACCCCUACCCUGCCGCCAUCCCCAGGGGCCUCUUCCCACCACCCUGGGAAGGAUAAGCUGCCCCCACGGCUCCCCCAGCUCUCGGUGGGUGGGGAGGCCCCUCCCCCGAGCCCUGCAACGCUCCCGUCUCAGCCCCAUCUGUGUCUCUGCUUCUUCACAGGAUCAACCGUGGGGGUGGGGAGGCAGCCUCUCCCACCCUACACCAGCCCAGGAGGCAGGGACACAUCCAGCCGCGUCGUGGGCAGGCCGUAGGGCUCGGUGGGAAUCCACACCUACCCCACGAACACUGCGAUGCCAGUCGGUGGCUUCAGAGACUAGCAGACCCAUUCCUGCAACUCUCCUUCCUGUCAGAACGUGGGCAAGGGCGCCAGGGCCAAGAGACGGGCAACCCAGGGUCCCCGGGAGACACUGCGCCCUAGCACGGCCAAGAGAAGCCAGGCCAUGGGUCGGGUGCAACCACCGAGUUCACGCCCUGGUCCACCCAGGCAGAAGGGAGACAUCUGGCCUGUGACGGACCCUCUGCUGAGUCCCACCCUCCUGAGAGACCCCCAGCUCGGAGCUCAGGCUCGGGGUCACGGGAUGGUUCUGGGGCCUCCUGGGCCUGUGACUUCCGACCACUGAGGCAGCCCCUCUGAAACCAGUUCAGAUAUCCAGACGCUGCUGAGACACAGUGUUCAAGAGAGUACCACGAUGCAAGGUCAGUAGAGGACGACCAGCCCCGUCCUGCCCACGCAGGGCCUGCGGGGCACGUGGAGCCCGGGGAGGCGGGUGCGGGCGGGACCAGCCCUUUCCAGACGGGUGCUCUCUCGCACUCCCGGGGGACGCCCGUGGAGUAGCGUGACAGCCCAAGUGCCGAGUGUUCAGAAAUGCCGUGAAGGGCUGUCUCAGGCUCCUGCAGCUCGUCCCCACCCGGGCAGGGCUGUGCCAAGCACGUGGCCCUCAGAGCCAAGAUGGGCUCACCCAGCUCUGCCCUUCAGCAUCCUGAUGACCUUGAUGUAUCCUUCUCCAUCUCAGAGCUCCGUGACACAGGAUGUUUGGAGCCUGGGCCCUAGGAGACGCCUCCCAGAGCGUCCUGCCAUCCCCAAGCCCCCAAGCACCCCUUGGUCACCUUCUGGUCCCUACACACCCACAGCCCGCCUCCCUCGCACUCGCAGGGACUGAGGCAGGGUCCCCCUUCCUGGCCUCCAAGCAUUCCCGGGGGCCCCACCCCGCCCCGCCCGCCCGUGCGCCGGGACGGUGGCAGCUGUGUCGCAGGCGAACGCAGAGUCAGGAACCCUGGGAGCCCGGGCAGCACACAGCCCAGCCGGGCGACAACACACAGAUCCCACCCACCUUCCUCUAUAAAUAAACCUGUGGAGGAGAAACAGCACUCGCCCCAAAAGUUCUAAGACAAUUAUAUUUUUAAGAAACCAAUCAAUAAAGAUAAGGGCCGUCCUCAGAGGCUCCUUUGCCUGGGAUGGAGUCACCCUGGAGACAGA